rnacentral:rRNA from 1 species
UUCGGAGGUACUCGAGUGGCGAACGGGUGAGUAACACGUGGGCAAUCUGCCCUGCACUUCGGGAUAAGCCUGGGAAACUGGGUCUAAUACCGGAUAGGACCUCAAGACGCAUGUCUUCUGGUGGAAAGCUUUUGCGGUGUGGGAUGGGCCCGCGGCCUAUCAGCUUGUUGGUGGGGUGACGGCCUACCAAGGCGACGACGGGUAGCCGGCCUGAGAGGGUGUCCGGCCACACUGGGACUGAGAUACGGCCCAGACUCCUACGGGAGGCAGCAGUGGGGAAUAUUGCACAAUGGGCGCAAGCCUGAUGCAGCGACGCCGCGUGGGGGAUGACGGCCUUCGGGUUGUAAACCUCUUUCACCAUCGACGAAGGUCCGGGUUUUCUCGGAUUGACGGUAGGUGGAGAAGAAGCACCGGCCAACUACGUGCCAGCAGCCGCGGUAAUACGUAGGGUGCGAGCGUUGUCCGGAAUUACUGGGCGUAAAGAGCUCGUAGGUGGUUUGUCGCGUUGUUCGUGAAAUCUCACGGCUUAACUGUGAGCGUGCGGGCGAUACGGGCAGACUAGAGUACUGCAGGGGAGACUGGAAUUCCUGGUGUAGCGGUGGAAUGCGCAGAUAUCAGGAGGAACACCGGUGGCGAAGGCGGGUCUCUGGGCAGUAACUGACGCUGAGGAGCGAAAGCGUGGGGAGCGAACAGGAUUAGAUACCCUGGUAGUCCACGCCGUAAACGGUGGGUACUAGGUGUGGGUUUCCUUCCUUGGGAUCCGUGCCGUAGCUAACGCAUUAAGUACCCCGCCUGGGGAGUACGGCCGCAAGGCUAAAACUCAAAGGAAUUGACGGGGGCCCGCACAAGCGGCGGAGCAUGUGGAUUAAUUCGAUGCAACGCGAAGAACCUUACCUGGGUUUGACAUGCACAGGACGCGUCUAGAGAUAGGCGUUCCCUUGUGGCCUGUGUGCAGGUGGUGCAUGGCUGUCGUCAGCUCGUGUCGUGAGAUGUUGGGUUAAGUCCCGCAACGAGCGCAACCCUUGUCUCAUGUUGCCAGCGGGUAAUGCCGGGGACUCGUGAGAGACUGCCGGGGUCAACUCGGAGGAAGGUGGGGAUGACGUCAAGUCAUCAUGCCCCUUAUGUCCAGGGCUUCACACAUGCUACAAUGGCCGGUACAAAGGGCUGCGAUGCCGUAAGGUUAAGCGAAUCCUUUUAAAGCCGGUCUCAGUUCGGAUUGGGGUCUGCAACUCGACCCCAUGAAGUCGGAGUCGCUAGUAAUCGGAGAUCAGCAACGCUGCGGUGAAUACGUUCCCGGGCCUUGUACACACCGCCCGUCACGUCAUGAAAGUCGGUAACACCCGAAGCC